ensembl:lncRNA
ACGCGUUCAAAAUAAUCUUUUAUUUUGAAAGUGUCAUUUGAUGCCCCGAUGGUUCAGAUUCUCUUCCGGUGUAAACAGAAAAACUACUUCUUACUUGUGCGUCAGCGGAGACGGAGGAGCGCGAUGUGGCCGCAGGGUUAGUUCAGAGAGAUUAAAGGCGAUCAGCUGGAUUUCCUUCAUGAUGAAGAUGAAGAUGUGUGUGCUGUUUGUGAUCCUCGCUUUCGUGUCCCAGCAUGCAUCAGGGGUGGAGGUGUUUGAGGCCGAGGAGUCUGUCCUGCUGCCCUGUAAGCUUGUUGUUCCUAAGGAUCAUGCAAUCGUGUGGAAACGUGAAGAUCUGACUUCUCAGAUCGUUCACGCCAUUGUGGAGGGAAAAGAUGAUCUUAGGAACCAAAACCCUCAUUACCGCAACCGAACAUCAAUGAGAGCCCUGCAGACUGGAGACCUCAGCCUCACUCUGAGGAACCCCACGUUCACUGACAGUGGGACCUACACCUGUGCCACCCGCAUCCAUGGAGAGGACAAGGAGAAAACUCAAGCCCAGCUGAAGGUCAAAGAACGUCCUGUCUGGCCCAAACUCCUCCCAGCUGUCCUGGUUCCUGUGCUUCUCCUCGGUGCUGUCAUUAUUUUCCUCCUGUAUCGUGUGACACAAAGAGAGAAGCUCAUAACAGUGGGUCAGCUGACACCACUGGAGGUGAUGGAGGGGGCGCCGUCUGUCCUGCUGCCCUACACACACACAUGCUGUCUGGGUGAGGUUCUCAAAGUGGAGUGGAUCUUUGUGACGAAUGAAAACAAGAUGGUGUGUGUGUUUGACAACGGUCAUAUCAAACAUGACCAACAACAUAAGGAUUACAGAGAGCGCGCAGAGAUGGAGUCAUUCCCACCCAAGGAGAAGAAGACAGACCAGCUGAAUCGGCCUGAAGUUGACCUCAGUCUGACCCUGAGGAACCCCGUCUGUGCAGAUGGAGGAGUUUACCUCUGCAUCAUCCACGACAAGGCUGUGAACACCAUGAAACUCAAGCUAGUGCCGCUCCUGGUCAGAGAGCCCCUGAUGACGACCAUUAGAGCUUCACUCGGGAGAGGCAACAGUGCGGCUUCCAAGCCUUUGCCUCCAUUUCGUGUGUCUAAAGAAAAGAAGAACGUUGGAGAAUCUCAUCUACUGAACAGUCAGCCAGUCUGAUGUGAUGAAGCUGGAGAUGAUGAAGAGGAGGCUGUCUGUCAGCUCGUUCUUCUCCAUGGAUGUAAAACAGGAAGCUCAGUGUAAAAGCUGAAGCUGUCUCUCUCAUGUAUGAACUAAAGAUGGAGCGUUGUUCUCCUCAGUUUCUUCUUCUGUCUGCUGCAGACUCUGCAUUGAUCACAUGAUCCAUCCGCUGUCUGCAUGUUAGUGGAUCAGCAUCAUGCAUGUUCAUGCAGCCCCUCUGUGAUCUUCACACUGAGCAUCAUCGUCGUCUGACUGUCAGAGAGGACCAAUCAGAGCUCAGCUCUUGGCUGUGUCUGCAGACUUACCACAGAUCAGCUCAAAGCUGUGUGUAACAUGUCCUCAGAGGUCAGCUAGAUCAGCUCAGUGUGACGCUCUCAGAGGAACCUUUAACUUCACUCACACGUCCACCUGAGAUCACAGGGAGGGUGGAGGUGUUCACCUGUGCUGCAGUGUUUUUAAAUAAAGCUUCUUUAGACUGUGUGUGUGUGUGUGUGUGUGUGUGUGCGUGUCUCCAAACAGGACUGCAAGGUUUGGGCAACCUGCCUGACUCAAUCAGGCGGGUUUUCCCAGCAUCCCUCUGGGAAAAGGUCAAAUACAUAUUAUGAGAGAUGCAAGUGGAGGGCACGCACACACACACACACACACACACACACACACACACACACACACACACACACAGAGUGACCACUCUAUCUGCAAUAUAUGAUGAGACUUAUUUAAACGAAUGUUAGGCAAUUAUUGCUAUUGCGUGCAAAAUGAAAGCACUGCGUUGUUUGUUUUAUUUGUUUUUUGGUCUUUUAUUUUGGAAAAUCGUUUGGGAAGUAAGAGGUUUUAGUCAAACCCAGCUGAGGAGCUAAUGUAAUUUUGCCAGUGUGUAGAAGUGCACAGCAGCUCACGUGUAACACUUAGCAGUGUCAUUGUUUUUCAUUUAAACAUAAAAAUAAAAAACUUUGUUGCUCAGACUCUGAAUGUGUAUUUUUAUGUGAGCAAACAUUUACUCUGACUCUCCUGGGGCCAUGCCGCACAUAGUGAGACGUCACUGCUGACAAAGCGUCUCAGCCCGCUCUCAGAAACUGGACUAUCAUGAAGUGGCGC